rnacentral:rRNA from 1 species
AUUGAACGCUGGCGGCAGGCCUAACACAUGCAAGUCGAGCGGCAGCGGGAAAGUAGCUUGCUACUUUUGCCGGCGAGCGGCGGACGGGUGAGUAAUGCCUGGGAAAUUGCCCAGUCGAGGGGGAUAACAGUUGGAAAAGACUGCUAAUACCGCAUACGCCCUACGGGGGAAAGCAGGGGACCUGCGGGCCUUGCGCGAUGGGACAUGCCAAGGUGGGAUUAGCCAGUUGGUGAGGUAAUGGCUCACCAAGGCGCCGAUCCCUAGCUGGUCUGAGAGAAUGAUCAGCCACACUGGAACUGAGACACGGUCCAGACUCCUACGGGAGGAAGCAGUGGGGAAUAUUGCACAAUGGGGGAAACCCUGAUGAAGCCAUGCCGCGUGUGUGAAGAAGGCCUUCGGGUUGUAAAGCACUUUCAGCGAGGAGGAAAGGUUGAUGCCUAAUACGUAUCAACUGUGACGUUACUCGCAGAAGAAGCACCGGCUAACUCCGUGCCAGCCGCCGCCGUAA